rnacentral:rRNA from 1 species
GAUGAACGCUGACAGAAUGCUUAACACAUGCAAGUCAACUUGAACUUCGGUUUGGGUGGCGGACGGGUGAGUAACGCGUAAAGAACUUGCCUCACAGUUAGGGACAACAUUUGGAAACGAAUGCUAAUACCUGAUAUUAUGAUUUUAGGGCAUCCUAAAAUUAUGAAAGCUAUAUGCGCUGUGAGAGAGCUUUGCGUCCCAUUAGCUAGUUGGAGAGGUAACGGCUCACCAAGGCGAUGAUGGGUAGCCGGCCUGAGAGGGUGAACGGCCACAAGGGGACUGAGACACGGCCCUUACUCCUACGGGAGGCAGCAGUGGGGAAUAUUGGACAAUGGACCAAGAGUCUGAUCCAGCAAUUCUGUGUGCACGAUGAAGUUUUUCGGAAUGUAAAGUGCUUUCAGUUGGGAAGAAAAAAAUGACGAUACCAACAGAAGAAGAGACGGCUAAAUACGUG